GUCAAAUCAUCAUGCCCCUUAUGACCUGGGCUACACACGUGCUACAAUGGACAGAACAAAGGGCAGCGAAACCGCGAGGUUAAGCCAAUCCCACAAAUCUGUUCUCAGUUCGGAUUGUAGUCUGCAACUCGACUACAUGAAGCUGGAAUCGCUAGUAAUCGCAGAUCAGCCAUGCUGCGGUGAAUACGUUCCCGGACCUU
rnacentral:rRNA from 1 species